rnacentral:lncRNA from 1 species
CUCUUUCUUACUCUCUCUCGCCAGAUCUGGCUCCGACAAUGAAGAGAAAGAAAAAGCGCAAGCCAAAUUCUCCACCAUCUGCUACGCAGCCGCACCGCCGUCGAAAAGCUAACCCCUUUCAUGAUUUUUUUGUGUUUUGUUUGUAUUAUUUUGUGUAAUCUGUGUGAAAUUUUUGUUAAUUGUUUUAGCUGCUUUUGUUUUCUCUGUCUUUGAAUUUCAAAUCUCAAGCUAUGGAUAAUUCUCUGUUGCCUGCGUUUUUACACAUCACAAAAGUUGAUACCUGAAGCUUUGAAUUAUUUUAAUUUGUGAGUCAUUAAUUGAAAUUGAUAGUAGUAAUCUAGCUUCAUCUCUUUCUUAGACUCUCUCUCUCACACACACACACACACACUUUGAAGCACUCUGUGUGGGGGUGAUUUUAAUUACCAAUUACUUGGGGAAGGAAUAGUACAGAGGGGAGUGAAAGUGCGUGCGUUGAGUGUGUGUGAGUGUGUGUGAGGGAUUGUUGAGGGCUUGUGUUUUGUUUUAUUUCAUUGAUGUGUGUACAUGGACUAAAUGUUUGAAUAAUUGUUAGUUUGAGUGUUGAUAUGCAAAUUGUUUCUGGAGUUUGCAGUAUCUGUACAAAAUGUUUUGUCAUUCCCUAAAUCAAUAUAUAUGCAUUCUUUUUGUUUUUUUUUUUGGUGUUUUUUUUUUGUUUUUUUGUUUUUUUUUGUUUUUUUUGUUUUUUAAUUUUAAACCGUGUUCAUAUAAUUUGAGUAUAAUAAUGGAUAUGCUGCAUCGUAGAAUUUUGGUUUUUCGUUUAACAAUAAACAUGCUGCAAUUUGCUCGUUUUCUCGACAUUGUUUGCUCCGAAAUCCUCGUAUUAUACAGUCUUGAAUGUUCUUGAAUAAAUUAUGGAGCUUCGAGUGAAGUGCAAAUAGCAUAUAUAUAUAGUCACAUAUGGUCACAUACUUAUAUAUAUAGUUAUAUGUGUAGUCAUAUAUAGUCGCAUAUGGUCAUAUACAUGUAGUCAUAUAUAGUCACGUGUAGUCAUAUAUAUGUAGUCAUAUAUAGUCACGUGUAGUCAUAUACAUGUAGUCAUAUAUAGUCACGUGUAGUCAUAUAUAGUCACGUGUGGUAAUAUAUAGUUAUGUAUAAGCUAUGUACUAACAUGUAGUCAUGUAUGAGUUAUGCGAGAAGUAUAUGCUGGUGAUGUAUAUGUAUGUCUGUGUAGAUUCAAAUUUGAAGAAAAAAUCAUUGUUUGUUUAACUAUUUUUCUUUUUCGCAGGUCUUGGUGUUUGUUUGAAUUACAGUAAGUUUUUGCGGAGUGGACUUUGUGUUCGUCGUUCAAAAUAAGCUGUACUCGUGUUGAAAAGUGAAAUUUCAGUCAAAUUUAGUCGUAUAGAUAACGAUAUAUAACUAUAGAUGACUAUAGUCAUGUAUAGUUCCAUAUGGUAAUUUAUACUUAUAUACAAGUUAUACGGUUUUUCUGAUGUAUAGUGAUCUUGAUGAUUGUGUUUUUUUUGUUGGGUACUAAUUGAUUUAUAAUACAAGAUUCAAAUUGUGAAUUUAUUUGUUGCUG